GACAGGAAUUCUCAAGAUAAUAACACUGUCAGCAAAACAGGCACGUGGAUAAAAUGGUGUGGACCUACAAAGCUUACACCUUGGACACGAACAGAGUUGGGUCAGAUGGACUUGAGAAGACAUCCUGAAUACCUGGACUAUAAGAAAGGCGGGACCUGUCAGACGUCCGACUGUCGCAGGAAGCCUGGACGGGUCAAGGAAAUCACCUGGGAGUCAGACAGUUGUCAGAGUUGGCGAUCGCGAGGCCAAUGCGGCCAGCACAACCCUGGAUGGGGAAAAUUAGGACAACUGCCGCCUCGACUCAACAAGAGACUGGGGAGAAUGAUUCCCACAAUUCGAGCUCCGCAUGAUAUCACGGGCCCCGAAAAUAGUGCAACCACCCUCGACGACAGAAACGCCAACUACUAACCAACACGGAGAACGGCUAUCGGGCCGCCACUACAACCAAUCAAGGAAGCAACUAUUCAUUCGUGUACGUACCGUUCUUGCGAGUGCCUCCUUUUUCCGUGAUAAUGCGAUUUUCGUAACUAUUAGGUUGGCAACUUAUAAACCCGCCAUUUUCUUCGACCACUUUCUAAAAUGUUAUAGAAGCUUCUAGAAUAACUUAGUGCAGUAUAUAAAUAGAGCGUGAGUGAAGGGUCUCGAUCAUUCAGUAAUUAAACGUUGAGCGGUAAAGGUUACGGAAAACAUGGAUAUUUCUCGAAGGGAACUUUGACUACUCUUACUUCACAAAUUUCGUUUAGGUCGAAAAGCGACCGAAGCAAUUUCGAAUAUAUGUGCAACGAUGGGUGAAAGUGUGGUGUCCUACGAUACGGCCAAACAUUGGUACAGGAGAUUCAGGGAAAAUUCAAGGAAAUUUCGAUCUUUCUGAUGAUGAUCAUCCAAGACGACCGCCUACAGUAAAUGUGGAGGAACUAAAAAGGCUUAUAGAAAUGGAUCCCAGAUUAAGUUCGCGUUGUCUGUCGGAACAACUUCACUGCUCUCACACCGUAAUAGAAAAACAUCUCCAUGCUUUAGGAUUCAAGUGGAAAUAUGCAGUUUGGUUGCCACGUGAACUGACACCACGCUAAUUUCAACAGGGAGCCGACGUGUGCAUGGACUUGCUUAGUUUUCAUCGUACCAAGGAGUAGCUGCGGGAUGUUAUUACUGGAGAUGAAAAAUGGGUGAUGUACAUUAAUUUCACUCGUAGGCGUCAGUGGCUUAGAGCUGGAGGAACAAACACAAGUAGAAAGGUUCUAUUAAGUGUGUGGUGGGGAAUAAAUGGGAUUAUUCACUGCGAGCUUCUACCGAUGGAUAGUACAGUCACAGCAGCUGUUUAUUGUGAACAACUUGACCGUGUUGCAGCUAGAUUACCAAAGAAUUAAAGUAAAGUAUUGUAACGUUACAAAACAAUCAUCCUCUCAGUACUCGUGUACUGAGAGCGCACGCGUUACAGAAGGACGGCAAAGACACGCGUCUAGUCGAAACACGCGCCGAUAGAUGGAGAACGUCUCCCAAAAGUGAAAAUAAGGAAAGUUAGUAUCAAAGUAAUCCGAUAGAUGAUUAGCGCUUCCCGCUAACAAAUGUCAGAUUACAAUUUGUUAAAUACGACAUUUCAAGUCUAUCGAAGGCAGUUCACUAAAAGUCGGAAUUACUAGAGUAGAUAAACUCAAGUUCAUCGAGAAUCUACAGCAAUAGAGAGGAUAGUGGCUAGUUGUCAGAAAACUCGUCGUACGUACUCGUGUCUAAAGGCUACGGGAUAUUAGCUCUUGCUACUCCACGUAAACCUUGCGUAGAAAGAUUGUCAAAGCUCUGUGGAGACCACCGUGAUCUUCCGCAGAGACUUUCAUUAUCGCCAUAUUGUAAUCAGUCAUCCGCGCCGUUAGGAGUUGCGUCGCACACAGUGCCAUAGCCACUAGGUAGGCAAAGCGCCACUAGGGUUAUUGAACCAACACGGGCAGAUCCUCUGUACCUCACGCAUAGGUCAGAGAGAGAUAGGGAUAGAUAACAAACAGAGGCAGAUACCUAGACAAUCCGAUUUUCUACAAUACCGACUGUUAAU